AAAUCCAACGAUUCAAUCGCUGGACUGCGGGAGAUACUGUCAGGCUAGGAGGCGGGAAAGGCCGACGGUACUCUUGGGGUAAGGGUGAAAUCUUAUAAUCCCAGGAGGACCACCAGUGGCGAAGGCUGUCGGCUGGCACGCGCUCGACGGUGAGGGACGAAAGCUUGGGGAGCGAACCGGAUUAGAUACCCGGGUAGUCCAAGCCGUAAACUAUGCGGGCUAGGUGUUGGGGUGGCUACGGGCCACUUCAGUGCCGCAGGGAAGCCGUUAAGCCCGCCGCCUGGGGAGUACGGCCGCAAGGCUGAAACUUAAAGGAAUUGGCGGGGGAGCACCACAAGGCGUGAAGCUUGCGGUUCAAUUGGAGUCAACGCCGGAAACCUUACCGGGGGCGACAGCAGAAUGAUAGCCAGAUUGAUGGUCUUGCUUGACGAGCUGAGAGGAGGUGCAUGGCCGUCGCCAGUUCGUGCCGUGAGGUGUCCUGUCAAGUCAGGUAACGAUCGAGACCCACAUCCCUUGUUGCCUCUGAGGAGAGUCUCCAAAGGGCAAGACUAGGGAGACCGCCGCCGAUAAGGCGGAGGAAGGAGUGGGCCACGGCAGGUCAGUAUGCCCCGAAUCUCCCGGGCCACACGCGAGCUGCAAUGGCAGGGACAGUGGGUUCCGACUCCGAGAGGAGAAGGUAAUCCCGAAACCCUGUCGUAGUUGGGAUCGAGGGCUGAAACCCGCCCUCGUGAAUCGUGGA
rnacentral:rRNA from 1 species